CAACUGCAUACAAGCGGACGAGGUCAUCC
rnacentral:sRNA from 1 species